AUUGAACGCUGGCGGCAUGCCUUACACAUGCAAGUCGAACGGCAGCACGGGAGCUUGCUCCUGGUGGCGAGUGGCGAACGGGUGAGUAAAGUAUCGGAACAUGCCCUGAAGUGGGGGAUAACGUAGCGAAAGUUACGCUAAUACCGCAUAUUCUGUGAGCAGGAAAGCAGGGGAUCGCAAGACCUUGCGCUUUAGGAGUGGCCGAUAUCGGAUUAGCUAGUUGGUGAGGUAAAGGCUCACCAAGGCGACGAUCCGUAGCGGGUCUGAGAGGAUGAUCCGCCACACUGGGACUGAGACACGGCCCAGACUCCUACGGGAGGCAGCAGUGGGGAAUUUUGGACAAUGGGCGCAAGCCUGAUCCAGCCAUGCCGCGUGAGUGAAGAAGGCCUUCGGGUUGUAAGCUCUUUCGGCGGGGAAGAAGUGGCGCUUUCUAAUACAGGGCGUUGAUGACGGUACCCGCAUAAGAAGCACCGGCUAACUACGUGCCACG
rnacentral:rRNA from 1 species